rnacentral:tRNA from 5 species
AAAUAAUAAAAGGUUACUUUAAUUUAUAUUUUAAAGAUCAUAAAUAUACAGGAUCUAAAUUUAUAUUAUU